UACGUAGGGGGCAAGCGCUGUCCGGAUUUAUUGGGCGUAAAGAGCGUGUAGGCGGCCAGAUAGGUCCGUUGUGAAAACUCGAGGCUCAACCUCGAGACGCCGAUGGAAACCAUUUGGCUAGAGUCCGGAAGAGGAGAGUGGAAUUCCUGGUGUAGCGGUGAAAUGCGCAGAUAUCAGGAAGAACACCGGUGGCGAAGGCGGCCAUCUGGACGGAUACUGACGCUGAGACGCGAAAGCGUGGGUAGCAAACAGG
rnacentral:rRNA from 1 species